CCCCUUGCCCAGAUGGGCAGGAAGAAAGCAGCCCUGCAGUGGCUGAGGCAUAAAGCCUGCAGAGGCUCUGAGUGGUCAUCAUGUGGCCUCCGCCUCUCUGUCCUAACCUUGCAGGAGUGCUGCUGGCUGUUGGCUUGGCAACUGUGCUGCUGACAGGCCUUGGCCUUGUGUUGAGGCCCUCCCUGGCUCAGGCCUGCCCUGUAAGGGCUUGGAGGCCCCAGUGGAGGGGCCUUGGGGAGUCUCAUGUGCCUGCUGAGUAUGUGCCCCUCAGGGACAGGUGAGUCCCCUUCCACCCUUCACUCCUUUCCCAGCCUAGGGGCCACAGCAUGUGUGGCCACUCCCCACCCUGGCCCUGCCCACAUUCACGAUCCCGGUGCUGGCUCUGGAGACUCAGGAAAGAACGCCCUCUUUUUUUUUUAAUGUUUAUUUAUUUUUGAGAGUGAGACAGAGACAGAGCAUGAGCAGGGGAGGAGCAGAGAGAAAGGGAAACACAGAAUCCGAAGCAGGUUCCAGGCUCUGAGUUGUCAGCACAGAGCCCAAGGCAGGGCUCGAAAGCACAAGCCAUGAGAUCAUAACCUGAGCCAAAGUUGGAUGCUUAACCAACUAAACCACACAGGUUCCCCAAGAACACGUUCUUAAGCUGACCUGUGAUAUUCAUCACUGGCACUCCUGGUCCAUGUGAGCCCUGUGCCACCUGAGUAUGGGUUCUUCUUUCCAGCCUUCUGUCCUAUGAAGAACUCAGUCCGUGGGGCUCUAGGGAAGGAGCUGAUUCCAAGGAGAAAGUCAUUACCUGGAGCACAGGAGAACCACUCCCCCUGAAGACCCUGGAGGACUUCAGUGUCCGCACUCUCUAUGACAAGCUCGAGGACCAGAGCCUACACGUGGCAGCCCAGCUGAGCAAGCACAGGAGCGAGGCACUGGCCUUCUAUAGGGGUGCCAGCCAGCAGCUCCAGGGGCUCAAGGACUUUCUCCAACACCUCAGCACAACUGAGUGGCAAGCUCUGGACAAGGGUGGAGACCCAGAGAUGGAGGCCACAGCUGCCACCAGGACAGACACUGAGCAGAGUGUGGAAUCAUGGGGCCACCACACUGCAAGUCUACCUAGGGAGCCCUGGCAGCAUCCUCUAGGUGAGAGGCAGGUGCCCAGGGAUGGGACAAUGAUGGCAGAUGGAAAGUCAUAAUAUUAACUCUGACUUUGUAUAGCACCUAAGUGUGCAUUUCACAUUUGUCAUCUCACUUGACGUUCAGCACCCCUGUGCCAUAACUGGACA